GACGAACGCUGGCGGCGUGCUUAACACAUGCAAGUCGAACGGAAAGGCCUUUUCGGAGGUACUCGAGUGGCGAACGGGUGAGUAACACGUGGGUGAUCUGCCCUGCACUCUGGGAUAAGCCUGGGAAACUGGGUCUAAUACCGGAUAGGACCGCACUUUAGUGUGUGUGGUGGAAAGUUUUUUCGGUGUAGGAUGAGCCCGCGGCCUAUCAGCUUGUUGGUGGGGUAAUGGCCUACCAAGUCGGCGACGGGUAGCCGGACUGAGAGGUUGUUCGGCCACAUUGGGACUGAGAUACGGCCCAGACUCCUACGGGAGGCAGCAGUGGGGAAUAUUGCACAAUGGGCGCAAGCCUGAUGCAGCGACGCCGCGUGGGGGAUGACGGCCUUCGGGUUGUAAAAUCCUUUCGCCAGGGACGAAGCGUUUUGUGACGGUACCUGGAGAAGAAGCACCGGCUAACUACGUG
rnacentral:rRNA from 1 species